UUGGGCUUCUCAAAAUUUUUAAAAAAUCACUUAUCACCCGAAAUAAGCAAUGCCAAACAGGCACUAAGACUAAAUAAUAACAGAUUUGUUGGAGAGUUGCCUUCACAAUUGAAGAAUUGCAGAGAGUUGACACUUGUUGAUGUUGGGGAAAAUAAAUUAUCAGGAUUAAUACCUGAAUGGCUAGGGGAAAAUCUGCUAAAUUUGUCUAUCAUUAUCCUUCGAUCUAAUCAAUUUUAUAGGAGCAUCCCGCCACAAUUAUGUCAUCUUACACAACUUCAAAUUUUGGAUUUGUCGAUGAACAACAUCUCUGGAAUUAUACCCAAAUGUCUCAACAAUUGGACUACUUUGGCUCAAAAUGGACAUUCAAGUCCAAGUAUCGUACAUGACAAUAUAAUUCAGUCGGGAGGAUUUUCCUUGGAUUUGCCUUAUGAUGAUGAAGCAUCUUUAACAUGGAAAGGAGUAAGGUCAAAAUAUAGAAGUAUUCUGGGACUUGUAAAGAGUAUUGAUCUCUCAUGCAAUAAGUUGAGUGGGGAGAUUCCUACUGAAAUCACUUAUCUUGUUGGUUUGGUUUCUUUAAACUUGUCGAGAAACCGAUUAACAGGUCAAAUACCUUCAAGGAUUGGAAAUUUGCAGGAGUUAGAUUCUCUUGAUUUAUCAAGAAACCAGAUAAACGGCAGAAUUCCAAUAAGUAUUUCUCGGAUAAAUCGUAUUGGUUACUUGGACUUGUCAGAAAACAACUUGUCUGGAAAAAUUCCAAUAGGCGCUUAGCUUCAAACCUUUGACUAUGCUUAUGGUGGAAAUCCUCUGCUUUGUGGAGAACCACUCCCAAGGACAUGCCCUGAGGAUGAAAAAGGUCCAGGACAAUCUUUGUUGGUGAAUGAAGACGACAAAGAUGGGCUCAUAACACAAGGAUUUUACAUCUGCAUGGGGCUUGGGUUUGCUAUUGGAUUUUGGGGAGUUUGCGGCACUCUUCUGCUCAACAGGUCAUGCAGAUAUACGUACUUCAAUUUCUUGACUUUUCUGAACGAUUGGUUGUACGUGAAGGUAGAAAUCAUCAGGCAAAGGAUCCUUAAUAAAUAAAAGGCACCUUUGAGACGACAUGCUUCCCUUCAGUUGAAGAUGGAUGCGAUGAAGGACUCCUGUUUCUACUAGUUUUCGAGUAUUUGAGUGAUGAUAAGGGAUCUCACUGAAAUAAAGGAACCAUUUUAGUAUAUUUGUUGUGCUGUUAUUUGUAAGAACUUAACGGGAACUUCUCCCAUGAACUAUUUGGUAUGAUGUUCUUGUGUACCUCAUGGUGUAUGUUUUUUUCUUUCGCAAUGUAGGAAAUGUAGACGUAGAAUUGCCUUUUACUGUAUUGCUAUUAUGAAUAAAACAAUGGAAUUUGAGUUAA